AGGGAGGGGGACUUGCGGCUAUAUUCAGUCUUGAAACGAACAUAGCCUUAAAAUUUAGGUCAUUUCUGUCGGGGGAUUGGAGGGGACUUGCGGCUAUAUUCAGAGCCUUGAAACGAACAUAACCUCAAAAUUUAGAAGGGUUUGUUCCCCCCUCCUAGGUUAAGAAUUCUUGAAACAGUGGCGGCGGAGGCGGCGGCGAUAUCUUUUUGUAAUAUAGGAAGAUAUAUAUAUAUAUAUAUAUAUUUAAUUUUUCAAAGCAAUAUUUUUUUUGAUUAGGUUUGCAAACAUGUCACCAAAAAACACCAAAAUUGAAGUAAAAAGCUCUCAAUUGUUUGAAUUUUUUAGUGAUUCAAAUGAAAAUGAUCAACUGAAAGAAAUCGAUUUAGCACCAAAAUGUUGGAUUUUCGCUAAAGGAAAUCAAAUUUAUACUAAAUUAUUUAUGUCUCCUCUGUAUGAUAGUGAAAAAAGGAAGUUUUUAAAUCAACUAAUUUUACAUCAGUCAUCGGCACCGGAUGAGUGGCCAGGUUACCUUAUUACGCUGCGUGGACAUGCUUGUAAGUAUAUUGUUUUUCUCAAUAUGAAUGAUGUCAUUUUAUUUGAGAAAAAGCUUUUAAAUGAUAAAAAUGUAAUUAACAGUUUUUAAUGAUUUGGUCAUUAAAUAACAAAUAAUAAUCACAAUGGAAAAAAUUAUUUGAUUAUCUUUAUUAUUAUAUAUUUAUUAUUUAGCGUCAUACAGAGAAGCUUUAAGAAAGUUUAAUAAUAUUUUGACUCAAGAUAAAUAUUGUUAGACGACAGCAAACGAGUCAAUAGCGCAAAAGAAUAGCUAAAGAAAUCUCCAAUGCUGUAAGGUAAAAAAUAUAAUAUUUCAGAAAAAACAAAAAUUGUUAUGGCGGUAACAAGUCUAGACGAACCGAUCUUAGAAAAUAUUAAUUUAAUAGAUGUAGACAACAAUAACAGAAUCGAGUCUGUUCCACAACAAGAAAAAAAAUUUCCUCUUGUUUAUUAUUUAGAAGAUAUCAAUUCGUAAUAAUAAAUUAGAUAUUCAAAAAGAAAAGAGAAAAAAGAUUUCUAAUCCAGGAACUUCCUAUAUGAGUAUCACGGAUAUCGAAGAUUCUGAUCCAGAAAUUUUCCAACCGAAGAAAAACUUUUGUCAAACAAAUAUAAGAAAAGAACCAGAAACAAUUAUAAACGACCCUUCUCCUGAUUACAUGCAUAUGGAAAUCGACGAUCCUUUUAACUCAUCAAAUGCUUCGAGUUCCGCUGUAGAGUAUUGACUAAGCUAUACAAAAAACCGUAUCAAAGAUUCUUUUCCAACAAAUGAAAAAAGUUUACUUGAAACUUCAACAAAAAAAGUAAACCUUGAUCUGCCAACUAAUAUGAAAAUUUGUAAAUAUAAUAAAAGAAAAAUAAUUUCAUUCAUCAACAAUUUACAACUGAAAAUUUAUUUUAUGAGUUCGAAAACAAUCUGGACGGAUUGAAUAUUUAAAGUCUCAAUAAGAAUUGUUCAGUCCCGCAAAUUCAUGAUUUUGCACAGGAAAAUAAUAUUCCUGAGCCAUAUCAAGAAAUGGAAAAUUUUAUUGAGUUCGACAAUAAAUUAAAAGAGGAAAAUUUUUGAAGAAGUUUUUAAUGGAUGUUUAAAAGAGUAUAACAAAUAUUAUUAAAAAAUAUCUGUCAAAGAAGGUUGCACUGCAGUUUGUGACAAUGAAGCGAACAGAAAAUAAAAAGAUUUUUAAAGACACGCAACUGUACUCCUGCAUUCUCGCUGCUGUCAUUGUCUCCCACAAAAAAAAGAAACAUUGGGGGCCUUUGACAAAAAAGCAUAUACUAUCUGAAUUAAGCUUAAUUUUACCCAACGCCAAAGAUUGGGAAGGGUGGACGGACUCUUUGCACAAAAAACAAUAAAAUUCAAUUCUAUUAAUUGUAGAAAGUGCCUUUAAUUUGAUAUUUUUUUCAAAAAACAGAAAAAAUCAUCUUUUUUAGAUCAGUAGUAAUUUUAA